AGAGUUUGAUCCUGGCUGAGAGUGAACGCUGGCGGCGUGCUUAACACAUGCAAGUCGAACGAGAACGGGUUAAAGCUUGCUUUAACUGUCAGCUAAGUGGCGCACGGGUGAGUAAUAUAUAGGUAACGUGCCUUCAAGAAGGGGAUAACAAUUGGAAACGAUUGCUAAUACCCUAUAUGCCUUUAAGUCUUAAGACUGCAAGGGAAAUAUUUAUAGCUUGAAGAUCGGCCUGUACAGUAUCAGUUAGUUGGUGAGGUAAUGGCUCACCAAGACAAUGACGCUUAACUGGUUUGAGAGGAUGAUCAGUCACACUGGAACUGAGACACGGUCCAGACUCCUACGGGAGGCAGCAGUGGGGAAUAUUGCACAAUGGACGAAAGUCUGAUGCAGCAACGCCGCGUGGAAGAUGACGCAUUUCGGUGCGUAAACUCCUUUUAUAUAGGAAGAUAAUGACGGUACUAUAUGAAUAAGCACCGGCUAACUCCGUGCCAGCAGCCGCGGUAAUACGGAGGGUGCAAGCGUUACUCGGAAUCACUGGGCGUAAAGAGAAUGUAGGCGGGUAGAUAAGUUUGAAGUGAAAUCCAAUGGCUCAACCAUUGAACUGCUUUGAAAACUGUUUACCUAGAAUAUGGGAGAGGUAGAUGGAAUUUCUGGUGUAGGGGUAAAAUCCGUAGAGAUCAGAAGGAAUACCGAUUGCGAAGGCGAUCUACUGGAACAUUAUUGACGCU
rnacentral:rRNA from 1 species